rnacentral:misc_RNA from 1 species
CCGAGCUUACAACUCCCAAACCCCUGUGAACAUACCAAUUGUUGCCUCGGCGGAUCAGCCCGCUCCCGGUAAAACGGGACGGCCCGCCAGAGGACCCCUAAACUCUGUUUCUAUAUGUAACUUCUGAGUAAAACCAUAAAUAAAUCA